UUUCUUAUUCACUUUUCUGC
rnacentral:piRNA from 1 species